UACGUAGGUGGCAAGCGUUGUCCGGAUUUACUGGGCGUAAAGAGCGCGCAGGCGGUCGAAUAAGUCGAAUGUGAAAGCCCCCGGCUCAACUGGGGAGGGUCACGCGAUACUGAUCGACUCGAAGGCAGGAGAGGGUAGUGGAAUUCCCGGUGUAGUGGUGAAGUGCGUAGAUAUCGGGAGGAACACCAGUGGCGAAGGCGACUACCUGGCCUGUUCUUGACGCUGAGGCGCGAAAGCUAGGGGAGCAAACGGG
rnacentral:rRNA from 1 species